GGUCAAGUCCAUAUAUAAUCUGGUCUUACUCUAUAAAAUUUGGGUCCAAUUCAAAUCUGGAUCUAUAAUCCCGCAAAACAGCUGCACCUAUUUUUUUAACUAUAAUAAUAAUCUAUAAUUUCAUCUAUUUCUUUCCACUAAACUUUAUUUUUUUCCUUCUUCUAAGUUCUUUUAUUUAAUUGGGCAAUGACCCCUUCCUAAGUCUCUUCGGUCUCACUUCCUAAGUAACCAAAUAAAAUUUUUAAACAAUUUAACUCAAAAAAAAUAUGUAUUUCAUAG
rnacentral:lncRNA from 1 species